rnacentral:rRNA from 1 species
GACAGAGGCCUCGAGCGUUAGGCGGAAUCACUGGGCUUAAAGCGUGUGUAGGCGGAUCGUUAAGUACCUUGUGAAAUCCCACGGCUCAACCGUGGAACGGCUGGGUAUACUGGCGGUCUUGGGCCAUUCAGGGGCGACUGGAACAAGCGGUGGAGCAGUGAAAUGCGUAGAUAUCGCUUGGAACGCCGAAGGUGAAAACAGGUCGCUGGGGAUGUGCCGACGCUGAGACACGAAAGCCAGGGGAGCAAACGGG